GAUGAACGCUGGCGGCGUGCCUAAUACAUGCAAGUCGAGCGAACAGACGAGGAGCUUGCUCCUCUGACGUUAGCGGCGGACGGGUGAGUAACACGUGGAUAACCUACCUAUAAGACUGGGAUAACUUCGGGAAACCGGAGCUAAUACCGGAUAAUAUAUUGAACCGCAUGGUUCAAUAGUGAAAGACGGUUUUGCUGUCACUUAUAGAUGGAUCCGCGCCGCAUUAGCUAGUUGGUAAGGUAACGGCUUACCAAGGCAACGAUGCGUAGCCGACCUGAGAGGGUGAUCGGCCACACUGGGACUGAGACACGGUCCAGACUCCUACGGGAGGCAGCAGUAGGGAAUCUUCCGCAAUGGGCGAAAGCCUGACGGAGCAACGCCGCGUGAGUGAUGAAGGUCUUCGGAUCGUAAAACUCUGUUAUUAGGGAAGAACAAAUGUGUAAGUAACUACGCACGUCUUGACGGUACCUAAUCAGAAAGCCACGGCUAACUACGUG
rnacentral:rRNA from 1 species